AGGAUGACCAGCCACACUGGAACUGAGACACGGUCCAGACUCCUACGGGAGGCAGCAGUGGGGAAUAUUGCACAAUGGGCGCAAGCCUGAUGCAGCCAUGCCGCGUGUAUGAAGAAGGCCUUCGGGUUGUAAAGUACUGUCAGAGGGGAGGAAGGGAGUAAAGUUAAUACCUUUGCUCAUUGACGUUACCCGCAGAAGAAGCAC
rnacentral:rRNA from 1 species